rnacentral:lncRNA from 1 species
ACAGCCUUUGGUCUUACUUUUUCCCGAAGACGACAUGACAACAAGACCUCCAUCUUUUGUUCCCGCCGUCUCUCCUUUUUUGGCAUCAUCUCUCGGAGGUGAUGACAUCGGCUCCUCCUCCUUGCGGCACAUGUAACACAAGAGAAGACCCAUCGCGAUGGCCUAGUAACAAAGGAUUAAUUAUAAUGGCAAUGAAUCAAUGAUACUUAUGAACUUUUUGUCUUUAAAUUUUUCUGAAAAUGUAAUGAUG